GGGUGUAAAAAAGUAAGAAACAGAUCUAAAGUAAAUGCGUUGCCGAUAGAAGAAGGAUUCGGUAUUUACCUCUGGGAUGAAGUUCUGUGUGGUCGGCGUGGUCGCCGGUGCAGAUGCGGACGAUGAGGCUGUGAUGGGGAUCGCCAUUGGGAUCUUCGAUGAAGCUCCUUCUUCUGUGGAUGGAGCAACGGCCGUCGCCACUACCGCCAGAGGCGCCACUUCCGGAACAUCGCGCGCUGGAGAGCUGCCGGAGGGAGCCGCCAUUGGGGAAGAAGGGGAGAAGUAACAGGAGGUUGGCGCUAGAAAGCUUCGGCGGCAAGGGAAGGAUGCUGAAGAAAGAAGAGGGCGCGCGUGCUGGAAAAGAGAGACGUGAGCUUGAAGAAGAAGUGCGGGGUGAAGCGCUAUUUAAAGGAUGCCUGAAGGAGGGUAAAAAUGGAAUUUUC
rnacentral:lncRNA from 1 species